rnacentral:tRNA from 1 species
CCAUCGGUGGUUCAGUGGUAGAAUGCUCGUCUGCCACGCCGGCAGCCCGGGUUCGAUUCCCGGCCGAUGCA